UACGUAGGGUGCAAGCGUUGUCCGGAAUUAUUGGGCGUAAAGAGCUCGUAGGCGGUCUGUCGCGUCUGCUGUGAAAAUCAGGGCUCAACCCUGGACCUGCAGUGGGUACGGGCAGACUAGAGUGCGGUAGGGGAGAUCGGAAUUCCUGGUGUAGCGGUGAAAUGCGCAGAUAUCAGGAGGAACACCUAUUGCGAAGGCAGCUCGCUGGGACGUUACUGACGCUGAGACGCGAAAGCGUGGGGAGCAAACAGG
rnacentral:rRNA from 1 species